UGCUUGAUUUGGCAGCACUAUGCUAAAAUUGGAACAACACGUGGAAGACUGCAUGGCCCCCACGGGUGACAUGCAGAUUUGUGAAGCAGUUCACGUUUUU
rnacentral:snRNA from 1 species